GGGGCUAUAGCUCAGCUGGGAGAGCACCUGCCUUGCAAGCGGGGGGUCAGAGGUUCGAUUCCGAUUUGCUCCA
rnacentral:tRNA from 1 species